UACCAUGCAGUCGAGGGGCCCUUCGGGGUCACUGGCGCACGGGUGAGUAACACGUAGGUCAUCUGCCCCUAUCACAGACAUAACUCCGGGAAACCGGUGCUAAUAUCUGAUGAGGUCGCGAGAUCAAAGCUUCGGCGGAUAGGGAUGAGCCUGCGGCUGAUUAGCUAGUUGGUGAGGUAAUGGCUCACCAAGGCAACGAUCAGUAGCUGGUCUGAGAGGACGAACAGCCACACUGGAACUGAGACACGGUCCAGACUCCUACGGGAGGCAGCAGUGAGGAAUAUUGGUCAAUGGGAGCAAUCCUGAACCAGCAAUGCCGCGUGUGGGAUGACAGGGCUUCGCCUUGUAAACCACUGUCGGAUGGGACGAGAGGGAGCUUCUGGCUCCUGGGACGGUACCAUCAAAGGAAGGGUCGGCUAACUACGUGCCAGCAGCCCCGGUCAACCCAA
rnacentral:rRNA from 1 species